rnacentral:rRNA from 1 species
UACAGAGGUCUCAAGCGUUGUUCGGAUUCAUUGGGCGUAAAGGGUGCGUAGGCGGCGAGGUUAGUCGGAUGUGAAAAUCCCAGGGCUCAACCCUGGAACUGCAUUCGAUACUGCCUUGCUAGAGUACUGGAGAGGAGACUGGAAUUUACGGUGUAGCAGUGAAAUGCGUAGAUAUCGUAAGGAAGACCAGUGGCGAAGGCGAGUCUCUGGACAGUUACUGACGCUGAGGCACGAAGGCCCAGGGGGAGC